rnacentral:rRNA from 1 species
UACGUAGGGUGCAAGCGUUGUCCGGAAUUAUUGGGCGUAAAGAGCUCGUAGGCGGUUUGUCGCGUCGGCUGUGAAAACUCGGGGCUCAACCCCGAGCCUGCAGUCGAUACGGGCAGACUAGAGUGCGGUAGGGGAGACUGGAAUUCCUGGUGUAGCGGUGAAAUGCGUAGAUAUCGUUUGGAACGCCGAUGGUGAAAACAGGUCGCUGGGGUUGUGCUGACGCUGAGACACGAAAGCCAGGGGAGCGAACGGG